UACGUAGGGUGCAAGCGUUAAUCGGAAUUACUGGGCGUAAAGCGUGCGCAGGAGGUUGUGCAAGACAGAUGUGAAAUCCCCGGGCUUAACCUGGGAACUGCAUUUGUGACUGCACGGCUAGAGUGUGUCAGAGGGGGGUAGAAUUCCACGUGUAGCAGUGAAAUGCGUAGAUAUGUGGAGGAAUACCGAUGGCGAAGGCAGCCCCCUGGGAUAACACUGACGCUCAUGCACGAAAGCGUGGGGAGCAAACAGG
rnacentral:rRNA from 1 species